UGGCAUAGUGGUUAAAGCUAUCGACUGCUAAUCAAAAGGUUGGUGGUUCGAAACCACC
rnacentral:tRNA from 1 species